UACGGGGGGGGCAAGCGUUGUUCGGAAUUACUGGGCGUAAAGGGCUCGUAGGCGGCCAACUAAGUCGGACGUGAAAUCCCUCGGCUCAACCGGGGAACUGCGUCCGAUACUGGAUGGCUCGAGUUCGGGAGAGGGAUGCGGAAUUCCAGGUGUAGCGGUGAAAUGCGUAGAUAUCUGGAGGAACACCGGUGGCGAAGGCGGCAUCCUGGACCGGCACUGACGCUGAGGAGCGAAAGCCAGGGGAG
rnacentral:rRNA from 1 species